rnacentral:rRNA from 1 species
AAUUCAUAGGCAGGCAAGAGACAACCUGGCGAACUGAAACAUCUUAGUAGCCAGAGGAAAAGAAAGCAAAAGCGAUUCCCUGAGUAGUGGCGAGCGAAAUGGGAACAGCCUAAACCGCCUCUGGGCGGGGUUGUGGGAGAGCGAUAGGAGCUAAGAAAACCUAAACGAAGCAGCUGAUUCCUGCACCUUAGAUGGUGAUAGUCCAGUAGUUGAAAGGAUCUCUAGCAAACGCUACUACCCGAGUAGCAUGGGGCACGUGAAACCCCGUGUGAAUCAGCGAGGACCACCUCGUAAGGCUAAAUACUCCUGGGUGACCGAUAGUGAAGUAGUACCGUGAGGGAAAGGUGAAAAGAACCCCCAUCGGGGAGUGAAAUAGAACAUGAAACCGUAAGCCUCCAAGCAGUGGGAGGAGAAUGGAAUCUCUGACCGCGUGCCUGUUGAAGAAUGAGCCGGCGACUUAUAGGCAGUGGCCUGGUUAAGGCGGAAAGCCGGAGCCGUAGCGAAAGCGAGUCUUUCUAGGGCGAAUGUCACUGCUUAUGGACCCGAACCCGGGUGAUCUAACCAUGGCCAGGGUGAAGCUUGGGUGAAGCCAAGUGGAGGUCCGAACCGACUGAUGUUGAAAAAUCAGCGGAUGAGCUGUGGUUAGGGGUGAAAUGCCACUCGAACUCGGAGCUAGCUGGUUCUCCCCGAAAUGCGUUGAGGCGCAGCGGUUGACUGGACUGCCUAGGGGUAAAGCACUGUUUCGGUGCGGGCUGCGAAAGCGGUACCAAAUCGAGGCAAACUCUGAAUACUAGGUACGACAUGGGUCAGCCAGUGAGACGGUGGGGGAUAAGCUUCAUCGUCGAGAGGGAAACAGCCCAGACCACCAGCUAAGGCCCCUAAAUGACCGCUCAGUGGCAAAGGAGGUGAGAGUGCAAAGACAGCCAGGAGGUUUGCCUAGAAGCAGCCACCCUUGAAAGAGUGCGUAAUAGCUCACUGAUCGAGCGCUCUUGCGCCGAAGAUGAAUGGGACUAAGCGGUCUGCCGAAGCUGUGGGAUGCCUGUUAGGGCAUCGGUAGGGGAGCGUUCCGCAAAAGGGAGAAGCAUCAGUGUAAACAGGUGUGGACGAAGCGGAAGUGAGAAUGUCGGCUUGAGUAACGCAAACAUUGGUGAGAAUCCAAUGCCCCGAAAACCCAAGGGUUCCUCCGCAAGGCUCGUCCACGGAGGGUGAGUCAGGGCCUAAGAUCAUGCCGAACGGCGCAGUCGAUGGACAACAGGUCAAGAUUCCUGUACUACCCCUUGUUGACAAGAAGAGGGACGGAGGAGGCUAAGCUAGCCGAACAAUGGUCAUCGGUUCAAGGGCCAGAAAGCCUGAGUACUAGGCACCUACGGGGCCGAAGUAGCUGAUGCCACGCUCCCAAGAAAAGCUCUUACGUCAUCGCCGUGCUUCGCACUCCCCGUUGUCCCGUUGCUCACGCAACCCGAAAGGUCGCGGAUGCCCCUACGGGGUCCUUUAGGAGGAGGAGACGCGAUAGCGAAUUGACACAAAGCGUGUCCGGAAGGCAACAAAAUGAAGACAAGUGGGUACCUGUACCCGAAACCGACACAGGUGGGUAGGUUGAGAAUACCUAGGGGCGCGAGAUAACUCUCUCUAAGGAACUCGGCAAGAUGGCCCCGUAACUUCGGGAGAAGGGGUGCCCCUCUGGGCCGCAGUGACCAGGCCCAGGCGACUGUUUAACAAAAACACAGGUCUCCGCAAAGUCGAAAGACGACGUAUGGGGGCUGACGCCUGCCCAGUGCCGGAAGGUUAAGGAAGUCGGUGACUCGAGUACGAGGAAGCUGGCGACCGAAGCCCCGGUGAACGGCGGCCGUAACUAUAGACCUAAUUGUAGUUAUAAAAUUUAGCUAAGUGCUGGAAACCCUCUAAGAAGGUUCUUUACUCGUGGAUUCAUCGGCUUACAAGCGACCGAAAACGGUUUACAAAACGAAACGCCGCCGCAGUGACAAUGAGAACUGGAGAGACAAUCAGCAGGAAAGACUUUUAUGAAUAAACAAAACGAACUGAAGCAUGUUCCCCCUGAAAAGGGAUACUAUAUUGCUGGCUUUGUCGACGGAGAAGGAAGCUUUUACCUGAGUGCGCGCAAGAGACAAGAUUAUCCCACAGGAUGGAAGAUUUGAACUUCAUUUCAACGUGAGCAACCGAGACCUCGCUGUACUAGAAGUUUGUAAAAGUAUUUAGGCUGCGGAAAGAUUCGAGAAUCACGCCCGGGRAUUUUAUACCCUGGAAGUGGAAAAUCGACAGAACCUGGCUACUUUCAUCAUUCCGUUCUUCAAACGAUUUCACUUUCUCUCCAACAAAAGAAGGCCGAAUUUCGUCUCUCUCAAAUUGCUCUCGCCUUGAUGGAAGCUGGGAUUCAAACGCCGGAACAAUUGGAAGAAUGGUUUUCCUCCGCCAACAGUUGAAUGGGUCCCGUCAGACGCGUAUUAAGAAUACGGAUGAGCUGAUUCGGGCUAGUUUUCGCUUUAUGAAAGAAUCCUCAGAGACUACUCGCUAAACGCUCUUCCUCGCGGAGGGUGAUGAUAUAGUCCGAUCUCUAUGGCNNCGUAGAGGCCGUCUUUCCAAUGGGAGANAGGCACAGGAAAAUUCUAAAAAGGGUUUUCUCUGGAACACCAAUGAACGGUCCUAAGGUAGCGAAAUUCCUUGUCGGGUAAGUUCCGACCCGCACGAGAGGCGUAACGAUCUGGGCACUGUCUCGGAGAGAGACUCGGUGAAAUAGACUUGUCUGUGAAGAUGCGGACUACCUGCACCUGGACAGAAAGACCCUAUGAAGCUUUACUGUUCCCUGGGAUGGGGUUUGGGCCCUUCUUGCGCAGUCUAGGUGGGAGGCGAAGACGGCGUCCUUCCGGGGACGCUCGAGCCGAAGAUGAGAGACCACCCUAGAAGGGCUAGGAUUCUAACCUUAUGCCUAGAAGAAGGCUAGGGGACAGUCCCAGGUAGACAGUUUCUAUGGGGCGUAGGCCUCCCAAAGGGUAACGGAGGCGUGCAAAGGUUUCCUCAGGCUGGACGGAAAUCAGCCUUCGAGUGCAAAGGCAGAAGGGAGCUUGACUGCAAGACUCACACGUCGAGCAGGGACGAAAGUCGGCCUUAGUGAUCCGACGGUUCCGAGUGGAAGGGCCGUCGCUCAACGGAUAAAAGUUACUCUAGGGAUAACAGGCUGAUCUUCCCCAAGAGUUCACA